GACGAACGCUGGCGGCGUGCUUAACACAUGCAAGUCGAACGGAAAGGCCCUGCUUUUGUGGGGUGCUCGAGUGGCGAACGGGUGAGUAACACGUGAGUAACCUGCCCUUGACUUUGGGAUAACUUCAGGAAACUGGGGCUAAUACCGGAUAGGAGCUCCUGCUGCAUGGUGGGGGUUGGAAAGUUUCGGCGGUUGGGGAUGGACUCGCGGCUUAUCAGCUUGUUGGUGGGGUAGUGGCUUACCAAGGCUUUGACGGGUAGCCGGCCUGAGAGGGUGACCGGCCACAUUGGGACUGAGAUACGGCCCAGACUCCUACGGGAGGCAGCGGUGGGGAAUAUUGCACAGUGAGCGGAAGCCUGAUGCAGCAACGCCGCGUGCGGGAUGACGGCCUUCGGGUUGUAAACCGCUUUCGCCUGUGACGAAGCGUGAGUGACGGUAAUGGGUAAAGAAGCACCGGCUAACUACGUG
rnacentral:rRNA from 1 species